GCAGGCAAAGCAUUAAAGCUUUAGACCAGUUUUGGUCAGUCGUUUGCAUGGCGUUUGUUUGUAUUCAUCGAUGAGUAAAUCCAUGAGCACGCUUCGUGCCAAAAUAUCUGACAAAUACCAAUGAACAUACCGGACAUCGUCAGUGGGAUCUAGCCUAGUGCGUUACGACCAGAACUGCGAAGCAGGCGGUCCAGGUUCGAACCCCCCUGCUGCCAGUUUGCUGUGUUUAAGCCAAUAUAUUUAGCUGUUUGCUUUUUCAAUGGAACACACAUUUGUUAUACUUUCCUGUGAUAGUUUUUUUUUUUUCCAAUUAUUGCGUCAUCACCGUCAACCUAUUUAAGUCGGGCCAAAUGAGAGACUCGUUCUCCUUUGCCAGAUGUCCGUCACCGGCGUUUCCACAAGAUCGCCCAAAACUUUGACAAGGGUGCUAACAUCUUGCUAGCAUGCUAGCUAAAACCUUUGAGCUUUCGGAGGCAUUUAACGUCUCCUGCGAGCUUAAACUACACCAAAAUGCAUUUAUCUGGCGUAUAUGCUGAUAAAUGAAUGCACACACAUUUGGACAAAAGUGCCGUUUUGCAGGAGGUUUGAAUCUUCAACCGAAUGGCCAAAUUGAGUGAAUUCCUGUUUCUCUACACAGCAUAUCCUUUAUUAAACAGAAUAAAUCAAGUAAUUGUCUUUGGGUUAAUUCUCAUUUCUGAUUACAGGUUCAAAUCUUCAACAAAAUGGCUGACUUCCUGUGACUUUUGGGGCAGGCCUCUUGAGCCUUUUGCCGUCGCUGACGAGGCGUCCGGCUGCGCCCUGCUCGCCUCACUGGUGAGAAACUUUCAUACAUGUAAAAAAACAAAAGUGACUCAUUUCUUUAAGCACGAGCUGACCAGGCAGCCUCCAGCGACGUCAUCACAGUUCAGGAAGAAUCUGAUGGACUGAAGGAGGUUCCCCCAAAGUUGCACUCUGAGAUGCGCUGCAGCCAGAUCCCUCAAGUUCUUUACCUUCUCGCUCCUGGACAGUAGCAUGUUCUUGCUGCUCACGUCCACCAGGUGGUGCCGAAGAAUUGUGGAGAAUCUGAUCAUGGAUCAACUGGUGGUGGAAACAUGGCGUCACAAUCAACUUCCUGUCCAACAUGUCGGCUUCCAUUCAAAGUGCCAUCGGGGGACUCUGCUACCAAGAUCCUCCACCUGCUGGGCAAAGAAGAGUUCCACAUGAAUGUGCAGGUCUCCCGGAGAAGUCUCUGCGCCACCAGUCCACUCUGAAGGCUUCAGUCAUUUGAUACGAGGAUGGUUCUUGUUGCAGUAGUAGUGGUCAAGCUAAAGGUGAAGUGGAACUCUAAGCUUGGGACCUGCUCACGUCCACCAGGUGGUGCCGAAGAAUUCUGGAGAACCUGAUCAUGGAUCAACUGGUGGUGGAAACAUGGCAUCAUGAUCAACUUCCUGUCCAGCAUGUUGAGUUGAAGUCGGCUUCCAGUCAAAGUGCCAUCGGGGACUCGGCCACCAAGAUCCUGGACAAAGAGAAGAGUUCCACAUGAAUGUGCAGAAGGUCUCCCGGAGAAGUCUCUGCACCACCAGUCCACUCUGAAGGCUUCAGUCGUUUGAUACGAGGAUGGUUCUUGUUGCAGUAGUAGUGGUCAAGCUAAAGGUGAAGUGGAACUCUAAGCUUGGGACUUGCUCACGUCCAGCAGGUGGUGCCGAAGAAUUCUGGAGAACCUGAUCAUGGAUCAACUGGUGGUGGAAACAUGGUGUCACAAUCAACUUCCUGUCCAACAUGUUGAGCGGUCGGCUUCCAGUCAAAGUGCCAUCGGGGGACUCUGCUACCAAGAUCCUCCACCUGCUGGGCAAAGAGAAGAGUUCCACAAUGUGCAGAAGAUCUCCUGGAGAAGUCUCACGCCACCAGUCCACUCAGAAGGCCUGAGUCGUUUGAAACGAAGACUGUUCUUGUUCAAGCAGAAGGUUCCAGUCUACCUGAGAUGACUUUCCAGCGCUGUCCUUUCUUGAUGCGUUUUGGCUGCAGUCAUGAUAGCCUCUUGUUUGAAGUCAUUGGGAGCUGAGGAACAAGAUGUUUCACUCGGAGAUACGCUGCAGCCAGGACCCUCAAGUUCUUUACCUUCUUGGUCCUGGACACUUGGAUGUUCUUCAUGUGCACGUCCACCAGGUGGCGCUGAAGGAUCCCUGGAGAACCUGAUCUCCUGAAGUGGUGGAAACAUUGCGUCAUGGUCAACUUUCUGUCCAACAUGUUGAGAGGUGACGUAAGCUACAAAACAAGCUCAGCAAAUUUAAGUUUGAAGUGCCCUCGCCUGCUUUUUCCUUUGACUCCAUAUGCAGGUCAGCUUCCAGUCCAAGUGCCAUCGGGGACUCGGCCAGCAAGCUCCUCCACCUGCUGGGGAAAAGAGACAAGUUCUACAUGAACGUGCAGAAGGUCUCCUGGAGAAGUCUGUACCACCGUGGAGUCUUCAGAAGACAUUUGAUACGAAGACUGUUCCUCUCGUCACACUCAAACAGCUUCUGCCGAAGGUUGCGGUCGACAGUUAACCACAAAAAAUGUGUCCACUUCCAUGUUCCUCGUCAUUCCGGGGCGAUCUUUCCUACAAGGUGAAACGCUGCACACCAAAAAUGUUUUUCUUGUUGCUUCCUUUCAUCCACAAGGUGCUGAAGCCAAAUUUUGGAGCAGCCUGAGAAGCGGGAGACCUUGACCCCUGGACGGUACGCGCUUUGAAAUGUCUUCAUUUCACAAUUGGGUCCAGUUUUUUGUUUUUCCACAUUUCUUCCAGAGUUGCAGAGGAACACGCAGCCGUGCGAGUGCUCUCAGGCCCAGAAAACAAGUGGCCCGUCUUCCUCGCUGGUCCGCACACCGGGCCACGCUCUCGUCACACAGCCGACCACUUCACCAGGCAGCGACGAGGAGACGGUUACUGAUGUCAUCAGACUUCGACUUGGUUUCCUUUGUGAUUUCAUGUCUGUUGCUUAACAUCUACUCUGCAAAUAAAUAAAAGCUGAUUACAACA